UGAAAAUGAAUGGUUUAAGUUAAGUGGAUAUGUUUUACGGCAGUCCACUAGCAAUUGAUCGGUUGUCAAGUGGUCUAUUUCAAGAGGUGAUUACCACGAAUACCAUUCCGGUGUCUGAAAAUAACUAUUUACCACCGCUGACUGUCUUAUUGGUAGCAAACCUACUUGGCGAGAGCAUCUGGCGUGUGCAUGAUGAUUACCCUAUCUUGUUAUGAAUAUGAAUGAAGAGGGUAAUCAAGCUUGCCCUCAAUGCAAAACCAGAUACAAACAAAUCAAAGGGAAUCCAAGAGUGAAUGGUGAUGAAGAAGAGGAUGAAUUUGAUGAUUUGGAUAAUGAAUUUAAUCUCUGAAACAAUGAUAGGAGAGACCCUCAUCAUAGUUUUUCUGAACUUCCUUCGCGCCAGAAUUUUGGGCCUGUUGCAUCCAAUAUUACUGGUUUUGCCACUGCAUUGGUGGUCAGCGCAAACGAUCUUAGCCACAAGAUCCCUCUUCUUACUUAUGGUCAAGAGGUAAUAGCACAAUGGUGAUUUUUGUUAUGGGGCGUUUGGACAUGCGUUUCAAAACUGAUUAUGUGAUGUUAAAUAACCUAAUAAGAUAAUUAGAUAUGAUUAAUAUCUUAGUGCUUAGUGAUAAAAUGAUCAAAUAGGACAUAAUGUUGAAAAAAAGGGUUAGC